rnacentral:lncRNA from 1 species
AUGGGGGCCUGGGGGGCACCAGAGUCCAGCUGGGACCCCCCAACCUCACCCUGGGGGCUGCUUCACUCCGCAGGGCCCCGUGACCCAAAGCACCCUCGGUGCCCCCCAAACCGGGACGCGGGUGACAUUCCCAAGGGCCUCGUUAAUCUGCUGGGGACAUUUUUUCCAGCUGGGGGAGCUGGGACAAAGCCGAGCCCGCGGGGCCGGGGGGGCACCCAUGGGUCCCCUGGGCCCGGCAGGAUGGGGCUUAGCGGGAUUUGGCCAAGGCCGGAUCCUAAUUGGAUUUGGCAGCAGGAACCUUAUGUAAAGGAGCACAAAGGGACCAUUGGAGCGAGGGGGACAAGGGGGGGCAGGAAGGGGAAAAUGGGGGGCUGCACCCAUUCGCCCCUCCUGCCUCGGGGACCCAGGUGGGUGCCUGUUUGGGGGAACCCGGGUGUCUGCGGGAGAGCGAGGGGAGUUCUGUCGUGCACCCAUCUCCAUCCCAUUUGGGAGACCCAGGUGUCCAGGAUCAAGGGGGAGCUGUCACCCAUCCACCUCCCCACCCUCUGGGGAGACCCAUGUGAGCCCCUUAGCUCAGGGGGUGGGGGGGUGCUUUGGGGAGGUGGGGAUAAAUGGGGGUCCCUGGGGGGGGCCCCACUCACCCUCAUACGUCCAGUGCGGACCUGUUGGGGAGAGGAGAGGCAGUGGGGGGGAGGCUCUGCCGAGCCCCCUGGCCCAACAUGGGGUCACCUGAGGGGGGCUGGGGCUGCACCCCAGAGCUGGACCUGCCAGGGGCACCCCGGGAGGACUCACCAGCGGGCAGGGCGGGGGCCAGGCCCCCCAGGAGCAGCAGCACACUCAGCAUGGCGGGGGGCAAGGGGGGCUGGGUGCCACCGGCCCGGCCCUAAAUACCCACCCAGGGGGACGGGCCCCCCCGGGGGGACGGGGAGGGCUGGAAGGGCCAUGCCCGGGAUGUUGGGGUGUGAGGAGGGUGGAGAUGGGGCUGUGGGCUUGCAGGGUCUGCGGGGCUGUGAGCUCUGGACUUGUGAGAUGAGGGGUUUGUAG